GCGGAGGGCUGGAUGGCCGCUUGGGUCGCAAGACCCGGGAGGAAAGUCCGGACUCCACAAGGCAAGGGUGCCGGGUAACGCCCGGCGGGGGCAACCCCAGGGAAAGCGCCACAGAGAACAGACCGCCCCUGCAUGCAGGGGUAAGGGUGAAACGGUGGAGUAAGAGACCACCGCGGGACUGGCAACAGGACCGGCAUGGCAAGCCCCACCCGGAGCAAUGCCGAAUAGGGGCCUUGCGCGGGGCAUGAUCGGGCAACCGAUAUCGCCGCAGGUACGUCUUGACCCAGAGGCCCGGGUUGGCAGCUAGAGGCGCGUCGGUAACGGCGCGUUCAGAUGAAUGGUCAUCCAGAGGGGGCAACCCCUUGGACAGAAUCCGGCUUACAGGCCCUCCGCGCAU
rnacentral:RNase_P_RNA from 1 species